GUGCCAGCAGCCGCGGUAAGACAGAGGUGCCAAGCGUUAGGCGGAAUCACUGGGCUUAAAGCGUGUGUAGGCGGAAUUGUAAGUACCUUGUGAAAUCCCACGGCUCAACCGUGGAACUGCUCGGUAUACUGCUUUUCUUGAGCCACUUAGGGGCUGUCGGAACAAACGGUGGAGCGGUGAAAUGCGUAGAUAUCGUUUGGAACGCCAAAGGUGAAAACAGACAGCUGGGAGUGUGCUGACGCUGAGACACGAAAGCCAGGGGAGCGAACGGGAUUAGAUACCCCCGUAGUCC
rnacentral:rRNA from 1 species